rnacentral:other from 1 species
UGUAGCCUCGUGUAGUUUUUGUAAAUAAUGUGGCAGAACCUACAAAUAACGUUAUAGGAAGCUAACGGUUUUUUGGUGAGCAUGCCCUCCGGCUUGUACGAUUGAGGGAAGCCUAAAAAAAAAUCACAAGGCAUCCACUUUUUUGAAAGUGGGUUUCUCCUAAAAUAAAAACUUACGAGGUCCUUU